rnacentral:lncRNA from 1 species
UUUAAGCUGUGAUAAGGGAUAGUAUAAAAUGGCCAAAUCUGGCAAACAUUAUUCAUAGCAGUGUCGACGAGCGAAGCUAGUAGUGAGUGAAAUCAAUAAAGUGCGUGUAAUUAUAAGAUAUUCCUAUCGUUCAGACGUGUGCUCUGGUGAGUGGUAAAUUUGAAUAUUUUUGAUUUUGUGACAAUUUUGAAAGUUUUAUACAUAUUUUGAGUUUGGGUUCUAAAUUUUUGACUUGUAAGUUGUGAAUAUUUAUUAUUAUUUUAUUACUUAGUGUUGUUUGAUUUGGUCAGCAUUUUUUAAAAUAAUUUCUCAUCCUUUAUUAACGAAAACAUGAACAAAUUCUUAGUCACUAAAGAUACAUUUAAGAAAAUUCGUAAAUUUGGCCUCCAGGGACGAACUCUGGAAUUUAAAAUCAGGGAUGUGCCGCAGAGUGAGGAACCUGUGGGAUGGGUAAAAAA